GUAGGUAUAGCUCAGCGGUACAGCGCAUGCGUAGCGUGCACGAGGUCCUGGGUUCAAUCUCCAGCACCUCCA
rnacentral:tRNA from 1 species